rnacentral:rRNA from 1 species
AGUGAACGCUGGCGGUAGGCCUAACACAUGCAAGUCGAACGGCAGCACAGUAAGAGCUUGCUCUUACGGGUGGCGAGUGGCGGACGGGUGAGGAAUACAUCGGAAUCUACUUUUUCGUGGGGGAUAACGUAGGGAAACUUACGCUAAUACCGCAUACGACCUACGGGUGAAAGCAGGGGAUCUUCGGACCUUGCGCGAUUGAAUGAGCCGAUGUCGGAUUAGCUAGUUGGCGGGGUAAAGGCCCACCAAGGCGACGAUCCGUAGCUGGUCUGAGAGGAUGAUCGGCCACACUGGAACGGAGACACGGUCCAGACUCCUACGGGAGGCAGCAGUGGGGAAUAUUGGACAAUGGGCGCAAGCCUGAUCCAGCCAUACCGCGUGGGUGAAGAAGGCCUUCGGGUUGUAAAGCCCUUUUGUUGGGAAAGAAAAGCAGCAGGUUAAGACCCCGCUGUUCUGACGGUACCCAAAGAAUAAGCACCGGCUAACUUCGUG